rnacentral:rRNA from 1 species
CGGCGGACGGGUGAGCAACACGUGGGUAACCUACCUAUAAGACUGGGACAACUUCGGGAAACCGGAGCUAAUACCGGAUAAGAUAUCGAACCGCAUGGUUCGAUAGUGAAAGAUGGUUUUGCUAUCACUUAUAGAUGGACCCGCGCCGUAUUAGCUAGUUGGUGAGGUAACGGCUCACCAAGACAACGAUACGUAGCCGACCUGAGAGGGUGAUCGGCCACACUGGAACUGAGACACGGUCCAGACUCCUACGGGAGGCAGCAGUC